rnacentral:rRNA from 1 species
CAGGCCUAACACAUGCAAGUCGAACGGUAACAGGAAACAGCUUGCUGUUUCGCUGACGAGUGGCGGACGGGUGAGUAAUGUCUGGGAAACUGCCUGAUGGAGGGGGAUAACUACUGGAAACGGUAGCUAAUACCGCAUAACGUCGCAAGACCAAAGAGGGGGACCUUCGGGCCUCUUGCCAUCGGAUGUGCCCAGAUGGGAUUAGCUAGUAGGUGGGGUAACGGCUCACCUAGGCGACNAUCCCUAGCUGGUCUGAGAGGAUGACCAGCCACACUGGAACUGA